rnacentral:rRNA from 1 species
CUGGCCUGCCCACUGAUUUAAGUAUUUAAGGGCCGCGGUAUUUUAACCGUGCAAAGGUAGCAUAAUCACUAGGUUUUUAAUUAGAAUCUUGUAUGAAUGGUUCGACAAAAGAAUUACUGUCUUUAUAUUAAUUUUGAAUUUAACUUUUAAGUGAAAAGGCUUAAAUAUAUUAAAGGGACGAUAAGACCCUAUAAAACUUUACAUUAUAAUUUUAUUUAAUUAAAUUUGUAAAUAAAAAUUUAAUUUAAUUAUAUGUUGUGUUGGGGAGACAAAGGUAAAAUGAAUUUUAACUGCUUUACAUUAAAACAUAUAUUUAUGGAGAUAUUAAAAGAUCCUUUAUAGAGAUUAAAAGAUUAAGUUACUUUAGGGAUAACAGCGUAAUUCUUUUUGAGAGUCCCUAUCGAAAAAAGAGUUUGCGACCUCGAUGUUGAAUUAAAAUAUCUUUAUAGUGCAGAGGCUAUAAGAGAAGGUCUGUUCGACCUUUAAAUUUUUACAUGAUUUGAGUUCAAACCGGUGUGAGCCAGGUUGGUUUCUAUCUUUUAAAUAAUAAUUAGUUAUUUUAGUACGAAAGGAGUAAAUAAUUAAAAUAUUUUUAUAUA